ACGCUCGACACCUACGAGAGGCAGCAGUGGGGAAUAUUGCACAAUGGGGGAAACCCUGAUGCAGCGACGCCGCGUGAAGGAUGAAGUAUUUCGGUAUGUAAACUUCUAUCAGCAGGGAAGAAAGUGACGGUACCUGACUAAGAAGCCCCGGCUAACUACGUGCCUGCAGCCGCGGUAAUCUGAGCGGGCUGGCAAGGC
rnacentral:rRNA from 1 species